UGGGGAAUUUUGGACAAUGGGGGAAACCCUGAUCCAGCCAUCCCGCGUGUGCGAUGAAGGCCUUCGGGUUGUAAAGCACUUUUGGCAGGAAAGAAACGUCAUGGGUCAAUACCCCGUGAAACUGACGGUACCUGCAGAAUAAGCACCGGCUAACUACGUGCCAGCAGCCGCGGUAAUACGUAGGGUGCAAGCGUUAAUCGGAAUUACUGGGCGUAAAGCGUGCGCAGGCGGUUCGGAAAGAAAGAUGUGAAAUCCCAGAGCUCAACUUUGGAACUCCAUUUUUAACUCCCGGGUUGGGUGGUGUCAGAGGGAGGUGGAAUUCCGCGUGUAGCAGUGAAAUGCGUAGAUAUGCGGAGGAACCCCGAUGGCGAGGCCAGCCUCCUGGAUAACACUGACGCUCAUGCACGAAAGCGUGGGGAGCAAACAGG
rnacentral:rRNA from 1 species